UACAGAGGUGGCAAGCGUUGUUCGGAAUUACUGGGCGUAAAGGGCGCGUAGGCGGCCUUGUAAGUCUUGUGUGAAAUCCCUCGGCUCAACUGAGGAACUGCACGGGAUACUGCGAGGCUUGAGUUCGGGAGAGGGAAGCGGAAUUCCGGGUGUAGCGGUGAAAUGCGUAGAUAUCCGGAGGAACACCGGUGGCGAAGGCGGCUUCCUGGACCGAUUACUGACGCUGAGGCGCGAAAGCCAGGGGAGCAAACGGG
rnacentral:rRNA from 1 species